AGCUCCAAUAGCGUAUAUUAAAGUUGUUGCAGUUAAAAAGCUCGUAGUUUGAGGGGGCGCUGCCCGGAAGGGCGGCGCGGCAGCACGCGGCGUGUGCAUUUGGUUGCGCGUCGGCGCGUGCUGCGUGUUACUUUGACGAAAGUGGAGUGCUCAAGGCAGGCGUGCGCCUGUACAUUUCAGCAUGGGAUAACGGAGGAGGCUUCCUUUGUUGGUUCAGGAGGCCCGGGCAUCAAUAGGGACAGUCGGGGGCAUUGGUAUUUGGAAGUCAGAGGUGAAAUUCUUGGAUUUUCCAACGACCAGCCGGUGCGAAAGCAUUUGCCAAGGAUGUUCCCG
rnacentral:rRNA from 1 species